rnacentral:sRNA from 1 species
CUUUGGUCUAGAGCAAGUGUUGGCGAACUUUUCUGUAAAGGGCUAGAUAGUAAAUGUCUGAGGUUCGUAGGAUCAUAUGGUGUCUGUCACAACUACUCGACUCUGCCAUUGCAGUGGAAAAGCAGCCAAGGACAAUGGAACCUUCAGACCUGUAGAUGGGCUCUUCUUGGACAUUCUGGAGUCCCUGGGGGAAAGGGAAGUCUG